GCACGCUGGAAAAACAAAAUAAUGCUACUGCUAAUUUAUAGGAGUUUAUAUUCGCAGCCCUGAGAAGGCGAGGCUAGUUUGACAGCACAGGUAUCUACGGCCCAAAGUUACGGGGGUGGGUCAGAUUAAGUGAAAUGUAUCACGUCUGUUGUGAAAAAUGUUGAAGAGGAUGUUUGUUUCAGUGCUUAAAAAGAUGCCUUUUCUUUGGUUUGAGUAUGUCUGGCAGGGUUUGGUAUUACUGAUAUUGAAACCACGAUGUGGUAUUCGGUGAGUGGUGAUGAAAAGAAAAAAGUUACAGUGCAUGAUCUUCUUUGUCGUCAUUACAUUUUGAGUAAAACGUUCCCAGUGUCGUGCUUCUGAUUUAGUGCUUUUGAAACACAGUCAACGCACCGGCCUUACAAUAUCAGCAUCCCAGAAAGUCUUACUGCGUCGUUUCAGAUUAAAAUGAAUUCAUGUAGGGAUGUGAGUGCAUCAUUACAGUUCAGGAGUUUCUUUUAUUGUGUGUAAAAUUACACUUCCUUUUCGUGACCACCUAACGCGCAGACACCUAAUGUCAGUUGCCUGGAGAGAAUGAAGAUGAUUGCCCUUUUUUUCUCCUCUAUUUCAUUCCCCAGCUUUCAUUAUAGACUUUUACCAGCCUUUACGUCCAGCAUGUUUAAUAAGCCAUUUCACAGACAGCAUCACUCUCACACGCUUUUUCUUAAACACAUUUUAUCCUUUCCUUUUGCCUCGUGGUCUAAGAGGGACACAACAAAUAUCAAGUUUUAACACUGCUGUCUCUACCCUAUCUCGCCCCUAUUCAAAGAGGUGAACAGUCAGGCUUUUGAAGCCUCUAAACUUUUCUGUGGUCCCAGCAGAGAGGAGGUUUGUGUGUUUUAUGAAAAGUGGGCCUGUUGUUUUUCUCAGCUUAUCGCAGUUCUUCAAAGGAAAGUAUCUCCCCAUUUCCUGGUGAAGACACCAUGCUGGACGGCACAAUGCCUGUGUUUCACAAAAUGCCAGCAGCAGCAGAAUGCUGCAGUUAGUCCCGGCUCGGACGCGCGUGGCCGCUGGGGUGAUGAGGGCUGUGGGGUGGAUUUCGGAGAGGGUCAGUUCGUGCGUAGCCUUCCUCCCCUUCACUGCAGACCGCCGGAGUCCCGACCAUGGCCGCAAGAGCCAUGGAUCCCGCGAAGCGAUGAGGAAAAAAAGGCCUCCCUCAAUUCCUUCUCCUCGCCCCGGACCCUCGCUGCCUGCGGCCUCUCCCGACGUAAGAGGGAAAGGAGACAGGUCUCACCGGUGCCAUGAUGAGGGGCAUGGACCAGACGGGAAGAGGGAUUUCAGCGACACACACAUUCCGCUCUGAACAGGUGAGUGCCUGAGGCAUCAGGACAUGAUGUCAGGUGGGCGAGGUGGGCGUGUCCCUCCACCGGCCCGUAAAUCGUUAACUCUCCUGCGUCCGAGUGACCAAAGGAGGACCACCCACGGAAUGCACCGUAUGGAGGUAUCACCUGCAGGAUGCACUGCCUUCACCUGCACCUUCAACAGUGAGAAAUUCAAUCUUUAUCACUCAGAAAAAAAAUUGCAUCCUGGAUCAUAGAGACCCUUUUGGUUCUAUGCACAUAACAAAAAAAAAAAAAUGUAUCAGGGCUUACAAAGCAGGUCCUAACAAAACUAAUUUUACACGUCACUUCUGUUUAUCAAAUCUGUUUAAACAGAAUGUUCUAGAAUGGAGAACCUUUCUAAUCCUCUUUCUCUCGCUAAGGCCUUCACAGCGGCCAUAACUGACCUCUAAGGGGAAGCAUUAGCGAGUGACCCGUUCUUUGAUCUUACAGAAGGGAUGGUGCUAGCACGGACGUGCGUGCGGAAACAGCCGGGCAGACAUCUGUAAGGUGAACGGUUUUUCUCUUUUCUGGUGGAACCUAUCCAAGCCGUGUGUUUCCCUCCUGACGCAUGAGCAGGGACG